rnacentral:rRNA from 1 species
AGUGAACGCUGGCGGUAGGCCUAACACAUGCAAGUCGAACGGCAGCACAGUAAGAGCUUGCUCUUACGGGUGGCGAGUGGCGGACGGGUGAGGAAUACAUCGGAAUCUACUUUUUCGUGGGGGAUAACGUAGGGAAACUUACGCUAAUACCGCAUACGACCUACGGGUGAAAGCAGGGGAUCUUCGGACCUUGCGCGAUUGAAUGAGCCGAUGUCGGAUUAGCUAGUUGGCGGGGUAAAGGCCCACCAAGGCGACGAUCCGUAGCUGGUCUGAGAGGAUGAUCAGCCACACUGGAACUGAGACACGGUCCAGACUCCUACGGGAGGCAGCAGUGGGGAAUAUUGGACAAUGGGCGCAAGCCUGAUCCAGCCAUACCGCGUGGGUGAAGAAGGCCUUCGGGUUGUAAAUCCCUUUUGUUGGGAAAGAAAAGCAGCAGGUUAAUACCCCGCUGUUCUGACGGUACCCAAAGAAUAAGCACCGGCUAACUUCGUG